rnacentral:rRNA from 1 species
AACGAACGCUGGCGGCAUGCCUAACACAUGCAAGUCGAACGAAGGCUUCGGCCUUAGUGGCGCACGGGUGCGUAACGCGUGGGAAUCUGCCCUUUGGUUCGGAAUAACAGCUGGAAACGGCUGCUAAUACCGGAUGAUGACGAAAGUCCAAAGAUUUAUCGCCAGAGGAUGAGCCCGCGUUGGAUUAGGUAGUUGGUGGGGUAAAGGCCUACCAAGCCGACGAUCCAUAGCUGGUCUGAGAGGAUGAUCAGCCACACUGGGACUGAGACACGGCCCAGACUCCUACGGGAGGCAGCAGUGGGGAAUAUUGGACAAUGGGCGCAAGCCUGAUCCAGCAAUGCCGCGUGAGUGAUGAAGGCCCUAGGGUUGUAAAGCUCUUUUACCCGGGAAGAUAAUGACUGUACCGGGAGAAUAAGCCCCGGCUAACUCCGUA